rfam:Hordeum vulgare subsp. vulgare, WGS project CAJW01000000 data, contig: morex_contig_2547475
UUUGUACUACCUCCGUCCCAAAUUACUUGUCUUAGAUUUAUCUACAUACGGAUGUAUCUAACACUAUCUAGACAAAUCUAAGACAAGUAAUUUAGGAGGGAGGGAGUACAUC